rnacentral:rRNA from 1 species
GAUGAACGCCGGCGGCGUGCCUAAUACAUGCAAGUCGAGCGAACAGACGAGGAGCUUGCUCCUCUGACGUUAGCGGCGGACGGGUGAGUAACACGUGGAUAACCUACCUAUAAGACUGGGAUAACUUCGGGAAACCGGAGCUAAUACCGGAUAAUAUAUUGAACCGCAUGGUUCAAUAGUGAAAGACGGUUUUGCUGUCACUUAUAGAUGGAUCCGCGCCGCAUUAGCUAGUUGGUAAGGUAACGGCUUACCAAGGCAACGAUGCGUAGCCGACCUGAGAGGGUGAUCGGCCACACUGGAACUGAGACACGGUCCAGACUCCUACGGGAGGCAGCAGUAGGGAAUCUUCCGCAAUGGGCGAAAGCCUGACGGAGCAACGCCGCGUGAGUGAUGAAGGUCUUCGGAUCGUAAAACUCUGUUAUUAGGGAAGAACAAAUGUGUAAGUAACUAUGCACGUCUUGACGGUACCUAAUCAGAAAGCCACGGCUAACUACGU